GGGGGGCAACCCCCAGUCGAGCGGCGAACGGGUGAGUAACGCGUGGAUGACCUGCCCUUCAGCGGGGAAUAACCCGGGGAAACUCGGGCUAAUACCGCAUACGACCGAGAGGUGAAAGGGGGCCGCAAGGCUCCUACUGAAGGAGGGGUCCGCGUUCGAUUAGCUAGUUGGUAGGGUAAUGGCCUACCAAGGCGACGAUCGAUAGCCGGCCUGAGAGGGUGAUCGGCCACACUGGAACUGAGACACGGUCCAGACUCCUACGGGAGGCAGCAGUGGGGAAUUUUGCGCAAUGGGCUAACGCCUGACGCAGCAACGCCGCGUGGAGGAUGAAGGUCUUCGGAUCGUAAGCUCCUGUCAGCAGGGAAAAAGCGACCUGACCUAAUACGUCAGGGAGUUGAUUGUACCUGCAGAGGAAGCCCCGGCUAACUCUGUGCCAGCAGCCGCGGUAAUACAGAGGGGGCAAGCGUUAUUCGGAAUUAUUGGGCGUAAAGGGCGCGUAGGCGGCUUUGCAAGUGACGGGUGAAAGCCCUCGGCUUAACCGAGGAACUGCCUGUCAGACUGUGAGGCUUGAGACCGGGAGAGGUGAGUGGAAUUCCCAGUGUAGCGGUGAAAUGCGUAGAUAUUGGGAGGAACACCAGUGGCGAAGGCGGCUCACUGGACCGGAACUGACGCUGAGGCGCGAAAGCGUGGGGAGCAAACAGGAUUAGAUACCCUGGUAGUCCACGCCGUAAACGAUGAGUGCUUGGUGUAGCGGGUAUCGACCCCUGCUGUGCCGAAGUCAACACAUUAAGCAC
rnacentral:rRNA from 1 species